rnacentral:lncRNA from 1 species
CUGCUGAAGUAAAGUAUGGUCAGGGUUUCAUGAAAACUCCAGGAAGGAGAUUCUGCCUCUUUCAGGAGGAAAAGAUAUCAGUGUUGUUAAGAUUUGAGUCAGUAUUUUUAAAAAUUAGAAAAUUGGCCUGACCGCUAAGGGCAUAAACAUGGAUUCAGCAAGUAACUCAGGAUCAUUCUGGAAGAAAAACACCCGGUUGGCCUUUGACCCACUGUGCCAAAUUAUUUCAUCUACUGAUAAAACCUAGAGAUUUGAGGACCCUGGCUAUCAGGCAGCUCUUCAGUGGAGAGAGAGUAGAGGGCUUUGCUGGUGUCCUCAGAGCACAGAGGUUGGGCUGUGAGCACACUGAGGGCUUGGCCCUGGUGAGAGAUUCGUUUUUGAGUGUGUAGUAGUAAAUGAAAGUGGAGUCUGGCUGCUCACCACUCAAAAGUCAACAAAGAGGCAAGAUUGGUGGAAAGGAAAGUUUGCUUUAUUUCAGAUGCUAGCAUGGGGAUGGGGGGCAGACUCCUGUCCAAAAGCUGACUCCCUUCACACUUUGUCAGUCAGCAAGAGCUUUUAUAGAUGGGGAGAGGGGGCGACAUGCAGAAAUAGCACAGUCAGCUCAGAUAGUCAUCUUGAAAUUCGUCAUCGGUGGUCCAACAAGCAUCACCUUGAUUGUUGCUUGAUCCCUGGAUACCAUAUUUGAGAUGGUCGAAUGUCACAGUUAAGACCGCAUGCAGGCUUUUGGAUACAGAUGCUGCUGCUGCUAAGUCGCUUCAGUCGUGUCCGACUCUGGGCAACCCCAUAGACGAAAGCCCACCAGAUUCCCCCGUCCCUGGGAUUCUCCAGGCAAGAACACUGGAGUGGGUUGCCAUUUCCUUCUCCAAUGCAUGAAAAUGAAAAGUGAAAGUGAAGUCACUC